AAGGGACCUAGCGUAGUUCGGAAUUACUGGGCUUAAAGAGUUCGUAGGUGGUUGAAAAAGUUGGUGGUGAAAUCCCAGAGCUUAACUCUGGAACUGCCAUCAAAACUUUUCAGCUAGAGUUUGAUAGAGGAAAGCAGAAUUUCUAGUGUAGAGGUGAAAUUCGUAGAUAUUAGAAAGAAUACCAAUUGCGAAGGCAGCUUUCUGGAUCAUUACUGACACUGAGGAACGAAAGCAUGGGUAGCGAAGAGGAUUAGAUACCCUCGUAGUCCAUGCCGUAAACGAUGUGUGUUAGACGUUGGAAAUUUAUUUUCAGUGUCGCAGCGAAAGCGAUAAACACACCGCCUGGGGAGUACGACCGCAAGGUUAAAACUCAAAUGAAUUGACGGGGACCCGCACAAGUAGUGGAGCAUGUGGUUUAAUUCGAAGAUACGCGCAGAACCUUACCAACACUUGACAUGUUCGUCGCGACUUUAAGAGAUUAAAGUUUUCGGUUCGGCCGGACGAAACACAGGUGCUGCAUGGCUGUCGUCAGCUCGUGUCGUGAGAUGUUGGGUUAAGUCCCGCAACGAGCGCAACCCUUACUUUUAGUUGCCAUCAUUUAGUUGGGCACUCUGAAAGAACUGCCAGUGAUAAGCUGGAGGAAGGUGGGGAUGACGUCAAGUCCUCAUGGCCCUUACGUGUUGGGCUACACACGUGCUACAAUGGUAUCUACAACAGGAAGCAAGACGGCGACGUUAAGCAAAUCCUUAAAAGAUACCUCAGUUCGGAUUGCACUCUGCAACUCGAGUGCAUGAAGCUGGAAUUACUAGUAAUCGUGGAUCAGCGUGCCACGGUGAAUGCGUU
rnacentral:rRNA from 1 species